rnacentral:rRNA from 1 species
UGGGGAAUAUUGCACAAUGGGGGAAACCCUGAUGCAGCAACGCCGCGUGAGUGAAGAAGUAUUUCGGUAUGUAAAGCUCUAUCAGCAGGGAAGAAGAAAGACGGUACCUGACUAAGAAGCCCCGGCUAACUACGUGCCAGCAGCCGCGGUAAUACGUAGGGGGCAAGCGUUAUCCGGAUUUACUGGGUGUAAAGGGAGCGUAGACGGCUGUGCAAGUCUGAAGUGAAAGCCCGUGGCUCAACCGCGGAACUGCUUUGGAAACUGUAUAGCUUGAGUACUGGAGAGGCAGGCGGAAUUCCUAGUGUAGCGGUGAAAUGCGUAGAUAUUAGGAGGAACACCAGUGGCGAAGGCGGCCUGCUGGACAGAAACUGACGUUGAGGCUCGAAAGCGUGGGGAGCAAACA